CGUAGGUGCAAGCGUUAAUCGGAAUUACUGGGCGUAAAGCGAGCGCAGGCGGUUAUUAAGUCAGGUGUGAAAGCCCCGAGCUCAACUUGGACGUGCAUUUGAAACUGGAUAACUAGAGUGUGUCAGAGGGGGUAGGAAUUCCACGUGUAGCAGUGAAAUGCGUAGAGAUGUGGAGGAAUACCGAUGGCGAAGGCAGCCCCCUGGGAUAACACUGACGCUCAUGCUCGAAAGCGUGGUAGCAAACAGGAUU
rnacentral:rRNA from 1 species